GCUUUGAAAGCAGCUGCGCGAGAAGCAGGGCGGGGCUGGGAGAAGCAGGGCGGGGCUGGGGUCCAGAGGGACCGUCUUUUUAACGCCUCUUUUGCAGGUGAUGAGAAACGUCCACACUCCUAAUGUCUUGCCUCCUCUAAGUCGCCGGACACACAGCCCAACUUCCCUGGCAAACUUGCUUUUCAAACUCUCUUCUCCAUCUCAGUCAGGGGCUCAGGUUCUGUAGUGCUGCCGUGCUUUACUCCUCUGUCCCUCCCCUUAUCUAGUCUCCCGCAUUGACUUCAUAAGCAAGUUUUGAGUCCCUGCCUCUGGAGUGCCCGAUGAGACAAAACUGCUCCUCGUCCUGCAUCCCCGCUGCUACUUGCAGAAUUCAGGGCUCGUGGUCCGGAGCCUGCACUGUUCCAUGAGCCUCCUGACCAACCUGGAAGCCUCUGUCUUUCCUCCCUCAGUGAGAUGCACCUACUUCUCCCUGGAGAAGCUCGAGGAAGCAGGAAUACUGAAGAUGAGCUGCCCCUCACUCUCACUCCUGGGUGUGCUGGGCAGUGGGGUGCAAUGCGCACGUGGGUGCACACUCUCCCUGAGACCUCCCACAGAGGUCUCAUCUGUGGUCGGAUGAGGAGAGGAAGUCCAAGUAAAGCAGCUGCAGCGAGACCACAUCUGCUCAGGGGUUUAUUCUUCCGUCUGUUUGCAGGGCUGUUUUGGACUCAGUAUUCACCUAAGCACUCCAAACUACCCAGCACACCCUGCCUGCGCAGCUCUGUGCUGCACCUUCACUCUAGUCACGGGUGUGGCAGUCAGCUCACCAAUUCCUCCUGCUUCCCUGGGACUCGCUGGCUUUUAGCACCGCAAGUCCCUCGGCAAACUGGGACUGUUGAUCACCCUACCCGGCAGCCAGUGAUAAGGUGA
rnacentral:lncRNA from 10 species